GAUGAACGCUGGCGGCGUGCCUAAUACAUGCAAGUCGAGCGAACGGACGAGAAGCUUGCUUCUCUGAUGUUAGCGGCGGACGGGUGAGUAACACGUGGAUAACCUACCUAUAAGACUGGGAUAACUUCGGGAAACCGGAGCUAAUACCGGAUAAUAUUUUGAACCGCAUGGUUCAAAAGUAAAAGACGGUCUUGCUGUCACUUAUAGAUGGAUCCGCGCUGCAUUAGCUAGUUGGUAAGGUAACGGCUUACCAAGGCAACGAUGCAUAGCCGACCUGAGAGGGUGAUCGGCCACACUGGAACUGAGACACGGUCCAGACUACUACGGGAGGCAGCAGUAGGGAAUCUUCCGCAAUGGGCGAAAGCCUGACGGAGCAACGCCGCGUGAGUGAUGAAGGUCUUCGGAUCGUAAAACUCUGUUAUUAGGGAAGAACAUAUGUGUAAGUAACUGUGCACAUCUCGACGGUACCUAAUCAGAAAGCCACGGCUAACUACGUG
rnacentral:rRNA from 1 species